rnacentral:rRNA from 1 species
AUGAACGCUGGCGGCGUGCCUAAUCCCUGCAAGUCGAGCGAACGGACGAGAAGCUUGCUUCUCUGAUGUUAGCGGCGGACGGGUGAGUAACACGUGGAUAACCUACCUAUAAGACUGGGAUAACUUCGGGAAACCGGAGCUAAUACCGGAUGAUAUUUUGAACCGCAUGGUUCAAAAGUGAAAGACGGUCUUGCUGUCACUUAUAGAUGGAUCCGCGCUGCAUUAGCUAGUUGGUAAGGUAACGGCUUACCAAGGCAACGAUGCAUAGCCGACCCGAGAGGGUGAUCGGCCACACUGGAACUGAGACACGGUCCAGACUCCUACGGGAGGCAGCAGUAGGGAAUCUUCCGCAAUGGGCGAAAGCCUGACGGAGCAACGCCGCGUGAGUGAUGAAGGUCUUCGGAUCGUAAAACUCUGUUAUUAGGGAAGAACAUAUGUGUAAGUAACUGUGCACAUCUUGACGGUACCUAAUCAGAAAGCCACGGCUAACUACGUG